rnacentral:rRNA from 1 species
UACGUAGGCAGCAAGCGUUGUUCGGAGUUACUGGGCGUAAAGGGUGUGUAGGCGGUUGGAUAAGUGUGGUGUGAAAUCUCCCGGCUCAACUGGGAGGGUGCGCUACAAACUGUCUGACUAGAGUGUGGGAUGGGUAAGUGGAAUUCCUGGUGUAGCGGUGAAAUGCGUAGAUAUCAGGAGGAACACCGGUGGCGAAGGCGGAUCUCUGGGCCGAUACUGACGCUGAGGAGCGAAAGCGUGGGGAGCGAACAGG